UAAAGGCUUAGUAAUGGUGCGUUCAUCUUGCUUAAGUAUUCAAGGGAAGUAAUAAGGACUUACGCGGUGCGUUCACGGUUUGUUCUUGAUUGAUACCGAUUUGUGACUUAAUAAUUGAAGCUUUGGUUGUUAACUUAUCUUGAAACAUACUUGGUGGUGGAUUUCCAAGUCUUUAACGUCUCAUCCAUCUGAUCUUUUCUGUUUUAUUUUGUUUCUUUGUUUUCUCUUGUUUAUAAUCAUAUAACCCCAUAUCUCUAGUACUAUAAUAUUUUUUUUUCUCUUGUUUUGUAAUUAACGUAAUUGUAAAGGUACCCUCAAUCCCCGGCUUUUAUAACGAUACCCUUAUUUGCUAUAUACUACAAUUGACACAAAAAGGUUUUAAUUGAAACGCCCGGUUUCGGUCGCUAUCAUGCCUGCCGUCGAUCCAAGGUCUCCCAACACAAUCCUCCUCACGUCCUGAAUAAUAAAUAAUAUUAAGUCUCCAGACUAGAUUAAAGCUUAAAUAAAUAUUUCCGAAAUAAAAAAGGAAGCCUAUAGUUUUAUCUCCCUUGCCCAACUUCUCCACUUUUAAUCUAAUAAGGCUCACAUUACUCCACACUUACCAAUAGCCAUAAAUUAACCUUUUAGAAUUUAAAACCUGCUAAACCAACUGCCGAAAUCCUACUCUAAUAACCGUCACAAUUCUUAACCAUUGAAAAAUCCCAAAUCUUAUCAAAACUCCUCCAAAAAUUCCAAACUUUACUUCAUUAAACUCCUCUCAUUAAAACCAUCUCAAAAACAUGAAAAAAUUGUCCUUAAGGGGCGGCGGCCGGCAGCUGUACUCCGGCAACCUCCAAUGCUUCCCAAAUUUUAACACAACACUACCCUCAACCUACACAACAACUUCCUUAACUAGCACAAGAUCUAUUUCUAAGCCUAACUAGGUUAAUCGAACCAAAACCUUAAAUUGAACCAUAGGACUUCAAUUAUACAUUUCUCCCUACCAAGAUCGAAUUGAGCCAAUUCCUUUUGAGGGAUUACUAACCUUGAUGAGAGCUUCAAGAUGAGCCACAAAUCCCGAGCUAUGGUGGCCGGAGGAGGGAACUCCGGUGAAGGGUUGUCCGGCGUCUCAGGCGGGAUUUCUCUUGACCGGUGGCAUCACACGCUCGGUCACCGGCCCAAGAAGAGAGAGGGGGCGACGGGGGUCCAAACGGAGCUGGUCCGGCGGUCUAUGGUGGCCGGACGGCGGUGAAUGGAGGCUGGGUCUCCGGCGGGUCGGGAGGCUUCAGGAGAGAGAGAGAGAGAGAGAGAGAGAGAGAGAGAGAGAGAGAGAGAGAGAGAGAGAGAGAGAGAGAGAGAGAGUAGAGUAGGUAGGUAGGUAGGUAGGUAGGUNNNNNNNNNNNNNNNNNNNNCUUAAUACCCCAACAAAAUAAACCCACUUAAAUUUUUUACCCCCUUUUUACUAACUCAAAAUUUACCCUUUUUAUCUGAUAAUUUUUUCGUGCUAACUCCGAUUUUUGCGUAUAACAUGUCUAUGAACUCAUAUUAACGUCCUAUACAACUUCCUUAAAGAAAGUUUUCCAAAAUAACUUGCCUACAAAAAGUCAAUUAUAAGGUCUUUAACAGUAAACGGUUACUUAACACGGUAAAAGACCAAGAUAAAACCAAAAAUAAAUAACCGUAAAAUAACUUAAGAACCGGGGUUUGACAAGUACCCUUUAAGCAGUGGCGGAGCCAAGAUUUACACUUAGAGGGGGUUCAAGUUUGACGAUAGACGACUCGAUUUGGAUUUAAUUAUUUUAUUUAAAUAUAAUUUUAAAUUAUUUUCGUUAACUAUAUGCUAAAUGUAGCAGUAUUUAUACAUCAUCUAUCAUCAAAAAAUUUAUAAAUUUUUAUUUAGUUUCAAUAAAGACAAUAAAACGUCACUCAUAAAAAAAAUUAAGUAAAAAGCGUUGAUGGCAAUAAUUUAGACGUUUAAACCUGAAAAUCUUGUAGAACCAUAUUUAUACAUUGGCGGAGCCAGUUCAGGACUAGUGAGGGCCCGUGCCCCCAUUAGAUUUCAACAUAUAGCUGUGUUUUGAUCUGAUGUGCCCCCAUUCCCUCACUAGAAAUCUUACAAUUGUAUUGGUUUAAUAUAUAAAAAUUUCAUAAAGCCCCACAAUUCCCACAAAACAAGAGAAAAAGGAAGCUAUGCACUCUUGAAUAUAUAAUUGAAAAGUUUAAAAUAUGAAAAUCAAGUCGUUUGCUGCGUUAAUGUCAAAAAAAAAGAAGGAGAAAUUACUGGUCACUCCAUUAACUUUCAUGCGCUCGACAGUUUACUCCAUUAACUUUCAAUUUCAAUCGAUCACUCCUCAAACUAUCCAAUGUCACACAAUUAGGUCCAUCCGUUAAGUGGCCGUCCAAAUCAGUGGUUAAGUCGCUGACUGGACAUAUUUUUUAACUGGAAAUUCUAUUUAAUACCCACCUCUCUCUCUCUCNCUCNCUCUNNNCNNCUCNNNNNNNUNUNUNNUNUNUNUCUCUCUCUCUNUCUACUACUACUCUCUACUACUACUAUACUACUACUACUACUACGUACGUACUACUACUACGUACUACUAUAUACUACUAGUACUACGUACUACUACUAUACGUACGUACGUACGUACUACGUACGUACGUAACUACGUACGUAACUUACGUUAACUUAAGUUACGUUAAGUUAGUACUACGUUACUAAGUACGUUACGUUACGUAGUAUAUUAUUAUAUAUAUUAUUACUACUACCUCUCUCUCUCUCUCUCUCUCUCUCUCUCUCUCUCAAAGUAGGCAUAUUUCAUGAAGCCAACUUCAGAUGAAUCAAAUAAACUCCUGUGAACCACUUACUGGUUGUUUUAUGACAGAACAUUAAUGUAUGAUGUCGUGGCAACAGAAUUGAAACAACUCCUUCAUGAGAAACUUCCAAGAGCCCAGAAACCAACUCCACAAAAAGCUUUAUGAAAAGCUGAUGAUUUUUGUUGCCCAGGAUGCCAACUAUAUGCACGAUUUACGCCAUGCUCUGAUG
rnacentral:lncRNA from 1 species